rnacentral:rRNA from 1 species
GAGAGUUUGAUCCUGGCUCAGAUUGAACGCUGGCGGCAGGCCUAACACAUGCAAGUCGAGCGGUAGCACAGAGAGCUUGCUCUCGGGUGACGAGCGGCGGACGGGUGAGUAAUGUCUGGGAAACUGCCUGAUGGAGGGGGAUAACUACUGGAAACGGUAGCUAAUACCGCAUAAUGUCGCAAGACCAAAGUGGGGGACCUUCGGGCCUCAUGCCAUCAGAUGUGCCCAGAUGGGAUUAGCUAGUAGGUGGGGUAACGGCUCACCUAGGCGACGAUCCCUAGCUGGUCUGAGAGGAUGACCAGCCACACUGGAACUGAGACACGGUCCAGACUCCUACGGGAGGCAGCAGUGGGGAAUAUUGCACAAUGGGCGCAAGCCUGAUGCAGCCAUGCCGCGUGUGUGAAGAAGGCCUUCGGGUUGUAAAGCACUUUCAGCGGGGAGGAAGGCGUUAAGGUUAAUAACCUUGGCGAUUGACGUUACCCG